UACGUAGGGGGCUAGCGUUGUCCGGAAUCAUUGGGCGUAAAGCGCGUGUAGGCGGUCCGGUAAGUCCGCUGUGAAAGUCGGGGGCUCAACCCUCGGAUGCCGGUGGAUACUGUCGGGCUUGAGUACGGAAGAGGCGAGUGGAAUUCCUGGUGUAGCGGUGAAAUGCGCAGAUAUCAGGAGGAACACCAAUUGCGAAGGCAGCUAGCUAGGCAAGUUCUGACACUGAGGCGCGAAAGCGUGGGGAGCGAACAGG
rnacentral:rRNA from 1 species